rnacentral:misc_RNA from 1 species
CUUGGUCAUUUAGAGGAAGUAAAAGUCGUAACAAGGUCUCCGUUGGUGAACCAGCGGAGGGAUCAUUACCGAGUUUACAACUCCCAAACCCCUGUGAACAUACCACUUGUUGCCUCGGCGGAUCAGCCCGCUCCCGGUAAAACGGGACGGCCCGCCAGAGGACCCCUAAACUCUGUUUCUAUAUGUAACUUCUGAGUAAAACCAUAAAUAAAUCAAAACUUUCAACAACGGGUCUCUUGGUUCUGGCAUCGAUGAAGAACGCAGCAAAAUGCGAUAAGUAAUGUGAAUUGCAGAAUUCAGUGAAUCAUCGAAUCUUUGAACGCACAUUGCGCCCGCCAGUAUUCUGGCGGGCAUGCCUGUUCGAGCGUCAUUUCAACCCUCAAGCACAGCUUGGUGUUGGGACUCGCGUUAAUUCGCGUUCCUCAAAUUGAUUGGCGGUCACGUCGAGCUUCCAUAGCGUAGUAGUAAAACCCUCGUUACUGGUAAUCGUCGCGGCCACGCCGUUAAACCCCAACUUCUGAAUGUUGACCUCGGAUCAGGUAGGAAUACCCGCUGGACUUAAGCAUAUCAAUAAGCGGAGGA